UUUGGUAUGCAAGAAAUUACGUUAGACUUUCUUCUGGGAUUGUAGAUCAUUGUUCAGCCCAUUCAUAGCUCCUGCAGUUCCAAUUGCUAUUACACAGGACAACUCUCACUUCUUCUGAGGUUGCGGGACUCUUCCCCCACUGCUCUACUACACAGGUGUUUCAACUUUGAGCGUUAGCAAUGUUGAACUCAUUCUGUCAGCAUCAACAAUUUCACUUCAGGAAACAACAGGAAGGAGUUUUCCAUUCAGUGGAGUAAGGAAAAGGUUUCACCUGGCGGCAGGUGCUGGAGAGAAACUGGAGGACUGCUGCAACUGGAGUUGGAGGUACAAUCACGUUUCAGAUGGAUUUCCUGCACCAAGUGCUGUGCCCAGAAGUGAGGUUUCCAAGGUUGACAUGUUAACCUGCUGUCAUUUUGCUCAGUACCUCAGAGGGCA
rnacentral:lncRNA from 1 species